CUCCAAAGAUGUUUUCCAGUCCUGAGUCCCUUGAAGAAUUUUAAAAUGUUCUUGCUCCAGGAAAGUGACUGUCACUCCCCACUGGAGCACUCAUCUCUCACCUGCUCUACCACAGGGAUACUGAGGAGUUGGAGGGAAAGGAGGGGAGGACCUCCGCUUCCCCAGCAGUCGGCCACAGGAAGCUGCCGAGACAGGCCUGGUGACCUCACAUGCUGAUGUCCUUGCAACAUCUAUGCAGUGUCCAAGUUGCAGUUCAAGAAAUCAGGGGUCAAAUAUCCAUUUGCCAAAUGCAGCUCAUUGACUAGACCUUCCUCUCAAUCAUUUAUCUGCCCUGCUGCACGUGAAGAGGACAUUUACUGGGCAACGCACUUCUAGUGGCACAUCAAGAUUAAGAUCCUUGGCAGAGAAAAGGAAGGUGACGGGUUGUCUGGUGUCCAUUUCUGCUUCUGGAGCAGGUGGGUGACGUUCGGAGACACAGAGGGAGUCUUCCAGGAGGUUGAAUUGCCACAGGGAUACUCCCUAAAGGAAGACAAGAAACCAGUUCACCAUCAGCCCAAAGUUGGAUCCUGCCAUUGGGUCUCCCAAGGGAACCACUGGUGUCAGGGCAGGAGUGCACAGGGACUUACGGAAGCCACUCUUCCUUCAUGCAGCGGUUGCCAAAGCCUGGCCUGUUCAAGAGGACAUCUGCAAGAGCCGCGAGCUGCUCACUGCCUGGCUCGUCCAUGCUAGACAGGCAUUCUUGGUUGUCUACUUGAGAUCACCUUUCCAGGCAGUGGAAGAUACAUUAACUUCCUUUCUGAGGGCAGACCAAGGACUCCUACCAACUUGGUCAGCAUCCCAGGGCCCUACCAAGCAACAUGUGACCCAGGGGCCCCCAGCCCACAGAGGUGAGUGGUGACCUCUGGGGAUGAGCCUGCAUACCUGAAGAAGGUGUACUGCUGCCCAUACAUCCAGGGAUGAAGUGCCAAAGCAGGAUAUUCACCAAAAGGAGGGACAAUGACAGAAAGCAUCAGAGCCCCAAACACAAAAGUGGCUGGGAGCACAAUCUGUCAGAAAAUAAACAUGGA